rfam:Felis catus isolate Cinnamon breed Abyssinian chromosome A2, whole genome shotgun sequence.
GCCUGGGUGGCUCAGUCGGUUGAGCGUCCGACUUCGGCUCAGGUCACGAUCUCACGGUUCGUGAGUUCAAGCCCCGCGUCAGGCU